rnacentral:lncRNA from 1 species
CCGAGAUUCACGGCCUCCAAUUCCCUGGGGAUCGGGGAAAAGAACAAGGUCACAGAUCUGUCUCGCUCCCUUUCGUCCCGCAGACGACGGCGAGGAAGAUAUCGGGGAAUUAAUUAAGGGGUUACGUAUACCUGGGCAGAUAAAAAAUGGCAGAAACACGUCUGGCACCGCAAACGCUAGCAACAAAAACACCUCUCAGGAAAACUAAACGAAAGAAAUUCUUGAACAUGAGCCUAGUCUUAGCUGUCCGAGGUGUAUGCAACCCUUAAGUACCGUGGGUGCAACUCGUCCCGGGAAUCGAGACUCGGGAAGAGAACCGAGGAUUCGACCAUCGCGGACGCCGUGGCUUCGACGAAGAGCGAAGGGUCCCUCAACUCCAGCCCGUUGCAGGUCAAUGCGAAGUUGACGUAAGCCGAGUGUCCUUCCGUGGAAAGUCGCUUGCCAAAUUACCUGCGCAUUACGAGCAGCCUGGGAAGAACGUGAAUGAAAACUCUGCGGACCCAUGGCGCCAUGGUGUGGGUCUGAGGUGAGCGGAAGUGUACGUUCAACACAACGACCGUCACGCAUAUGCUGAAAUUUGGAAAGUCAAGUUUAGUCGUAGGUGUCUAGGAUCAUGGUGAAGAGGACAAAUUUGCCGAGGAGAGGAACCACCAGGGAAGUCGGUGGAAUGAUCUCUGCCAGCAGCAAGAAGAACACAGUCAGUGACAGUAGAAUCGAGAUGGACAAACUCACCUGGAAUCAGCCAAGGUUGAAGAAACAGCCGGGAUACUUCUGUAGGUACCGAACACCGAAAACACUGAUCUGUACUACAAUCUUCUAUCCUUGGGAGGAAAUCGAUGUCCGUUCAGCAAAACGAAAAGGGAAAUAAAGGACCUUACCGGCGUCGUCCAUUAAUUCCUGCCCCCGUACAAAGAUGAACAACUUUUUGACAAGAAUGAAUUUGACGUGUGCCGUGCCGUGCAUAGAUUCGUACUCCCAGCCAAGGAUGUUUGAACCAGAAGUCUUCCUCCACUGUUAGAUGGUGCAUCACGUCGAUUCUGAACUCUGUCGGUAAGUUUGUCUGCUCACGUCAAUUUUAAAUUCUGUCGGUAAGUCGCGUGCGUCAAAUAGCGGCAGGUUUUAUUCGGUUCGAAUAACAAGUGCAGGAUCAACAUAUAGAUCUCUUCAUUGUGUUUUAUUUAAACAAGUUUAGUUAAAGUA